UACGUAGGGUGCGAGCGUUAAUCGGAAUUACUGGGCGUAAAGCGUGCGCAGGCGGUUUUGUAAGCCAGAUGUGAAAGCCCCGGGCUUAACCUGGGAAUGGCAUUUGGGACUGCAAGGCUUGAGUGCGGCAGAGGAGACUGGAAUUCCCGGUGUAGCAGUGAAAUGCGUAGAUAUCGGGAGGAACACCAAUGGCGAAGGCAGCUCGCUGGGACGUUACUGACGCUGAGACGCGAAAGCGUGGGGAGCAAACAGG
rnacentral:rRNA from 1 species